rnacentral:tRNA from 1 species
GGUUCAAAUCCGAUAAAGGGCU